GCUUCCUGACCUCGGCUCAGACGUGAU
rnacentral:rRNA from 1 species